GUUGUUACUUUAAGCCAAAUUUUAUAUUUUUUUAUAUGAUUUCAAAAACCCAAGUAGAAUCAGGUGAGCGAUACAGGCUCUUGAGAGCCUCUAGUUUAAGUUAAACAGGAUGUUGUAAUUUUGAAUAAAUGUUAUUUAGAAUUUAAUACCUCUGACCAGGUAUGAUCUUAUUUAUAAAUUUGCCCCAAGCAGAGGGUAUACUUAAUAGUACACCAC
rnacentral:lncRNA from 1 species